rnacentral:tRNA from 1 species
AGCUGCCUGGCUCAGCUGGUAGAGCGUGUGACUCGACCUCAGGGUUGUGGGUUCAAGCCCCAUGUUGGCUG